rnacentral:rRNA from 1 species
UACGUAGGUGGCAAGCGUUGUCCGGAAUCACUGGGCGUAAAGCGCGUGCAGGCGGCGAUCUACGUCUGGGGUGAAAGCCCCGGAGCUCAACUCCGGGACUGCCUUGGAUACGGGAUCGCUUGAGGAUUGGAGAGGCAAGGGGAAUUCCACGUGUAGCGGUGAAAUGCGUAGAGAUGUGGAGGAACACCUGUGGCGAAGGCGCCUUGCUGGCCAAUCUCUGACGCUGAGGCGCGAAAGCGUGGGGAGCAAACAGG